UCCCUCAGGCCAUCAACCUAUUAAUUUUUCACACCGUCUCUGGUCUUCAUAGAACCAAAGAUUCUCAUUAUUAUAAAAUUACUUCACAUUCCCCACAUUCCAUACCCCUUGCCCCUGCAGCUUCUUGGCUCAAAUUUUCAACCUUAGAGCUGCCAAUCUUGGCCAGGAAGAAAGUGGCCUGUGUGGUGAGCAUCUGUUGGCGUCUUCCCGGCAUCCAUCUUCCCAUUCUGCCACUAGCAGCACCCAGAUUUCACUUCUCCAUUCUCAGCAGUGUGGUUUGCUGCACUAUUUAAUAAGACUUUAUGGAAGAUUCUAGGAUAGUGGAAGGGAGCUACAACACAGAGCACAACCAAUGAUUACCUCUAAAGGUGACUGUGCUGACUUCUUGGACCUGAAGGGUAUCCCAGAAAGAGGCCCUUUCCCCAGCCCCCCUGGUGAGCCCCAGAGAGAGGGGCCAGAGCCCCCCUGUACAGAUAAUGCCAGCCUCUGUCCUCUUCCAGAUGCCCUACAGCAGGAAGACCCAUCACAUUCAGGGAACACCGAGCCCCAACCACAGGGAGGGCCUUUGUCCCUCUAGACCCAGGGAGUCAGUUACUUGCGUCAAGGCAUUCUGGGUGAUGCAGUCUGGCCUGAAUUCAGGGUGGGGCUCUGGAAGUUCAGUCCAGGUUGGGUGGGGCCAAGCCCAGAUGAGUUUCUCUGUUUCUCCCAAUGUCCGAUCAGCCAGAGUCAGUCUGCAAGGCAGCCAGCCUGCAGGUCUUGCUGCGUGGCAGCUCCAUGUUUUCUGCACACUGUUUGAUGAAGGGCACACUGAAUCCUCUGUACCCCAACUAAGAUCCAGGUCUGAGAGGUGAUGCUUCUUUUUAAAUGUUCAAAUUGCAGCAAACAGCAAAAACAAAACACAUUUCUUCCAAAGUAGCCACAUGACUGAGGACAGAACUCUGCUACCUGACAGCCCUGGUUUCUGCCGUCACAAUCUGCAACUUUCAAGUCGGAAGCAUCUGUUUUGGGUCACUUCUCAGCAUUAAAUCUCCCUGAGAAGGAGAAGUGGGGUCCUACGGGAAACUGCAAAACUCGACUGCCCAUACGGAUGCUGUUCCCAGGAAAAAGGGACAUCAGCUUUAGAAUCUCAGGAUUUAGUUGUGGCUAGCGCACGUUGAUACAGAAGAAAGGUAAGAUGGGGGACAAAAUGGAUUCUGCAAAUACUGAAAGGACAUUGCAAACCUGGGUGAGGAUGAGUGGACACAAACAUACGGCCUAGGUAGAUAGACACCAAGUAGCAUAAAGAAGAUAGAGAGAUGGCUACACCCUGGAGAGAAGGGUAGGGGCAGUCACAUCAGGGGUAGUGAGUCAGAGAGAGGGAAGAGAUGUGAACCAGCCUUCUGCUCUCCCGCCCAGCUAGGCUCUGAUGUGGCUUU
rnacentral:lncRNA from 1 species